CAGUCACCUAAUGACCACAAGCCAAAUCAAUCAGAAUCAGAAUGAGCUUUAUUGCCAGGUAUGUUUACACAUACGAGAAAUUUGUUUUCGUGACAGAAGCAAAUCAAGGCAAUGCAAUCCCUUUCUCAUGCCUCCAUCUGAAAAGUUGGAGGAAAAAAAUAAAUAAAUAAAAGAGUCCAAAUAAUGACCCCUAUAACAUAUAGUGUUCCAAAUGUUAAGCGACUUCAGCUUAUGAUGGGUCCAACUGGUAUUUUUAUGGUGUAAGGGCUGUGUCGGCAUAAGAAAAAGCCAUGCUUUGUUUAGUGAUGUCAGUGCUGUGGCACUGGCUGGGGACAAACUGCUGCAUGCGCAGCUCCUCGUUAGUAUAGUGGACAGUAUCUCCGCCUGUCACGCGGAAGACCGGGGUUCGAUUCCCCGACGGGGAGAGCUAGCUCUUUUCUGCUUGCUGGACGACCAAUCCAAAAGUUUUUGGCGCAACCAGGGCUCACAGAAGGAGUACGGCUACGAUGUCAGCCCGAGCCAAAGGAAAUGCGUUGGCCGGGAAUCGAACCCGGGUCAACUGCUUGGAAGGCAGCUAUGCUCACCACUAUACCACCAACGCAGGCAGAAGGUGCCAGAAAUACAGAGGCUGCAAACACAGACGAUGACCAGUUGCACGUCCUCCCACCGUGUGUUGGCAGAUGGCCAAAUUCACUCUGCUCUUGACAUUCCGGUGUAGCUCUGCUGUGAGCAGAGCCCCCAAAAAAAUACAGGUCACUCGCAAAAGCUCCCCUCCACGGAAAUCUUUAGUAAAAGGCGAAAGAUUUAUGCGACAAUGAAGAGAAACUCGAGCUGUAUCCCCACCCCCUUGGGCCUGUGCGCUGCCAGUGGUAAGCCACUAUUCUCACCUAGGGUCAUCAAUGGUGAAGACACCUGCCCACAUGCAUUUCGUCACCCCCCUCACUCCAAAGGGGAGGAGUAAAGGUCACAAAAAAAUUCCCGUCAGUCACCUAAUGACCACAAGCCAAAUCA
ensembl:lncRNA